rnacentral:rRNA from 1 species
UAAUAGCUCAAAUUUGAAAUCUGACUCUUCGAGUCCGAGUUGUAAUUUGUAGAGGAUGUUUCGGGUCCAAUUUCGGUUUAAAUUUCUUGGAACAGAAUGUCAUAGAGGGUGAGAAUCCCGUCUAUAACCGUCUAUUGUACCCAUGUGAAACUCCUUCGACGAGUCGAGUUGUUUGGGAAUGCAGCUCUAAAUGGGAGGUAAAUUUCUUCUAAAGCUAAAUAUUGGCCAGAGACCGAUAGCGCACAAGUAGAGUGAUCGAAAGAUGAAAAGCACUUUGAAAAGAGAGUUAAACAGUAUGUGAAAUUGUUGAAAGGGAAGCGCUUGCAAUCAGACUUGCAUUUAACAUUCCCCUAUUGUUUUCAAUAGGUCAUUUUGUUAAAUUCAGGCCAGCAUCAGUUUGAGUGGUUAGUUAAAGACCUUAGGAAUGUAUCUACUCUCGGGUAGACUUAUAGCCUAGGGUGAAAUGUGACCUACUUGGACUGAGGAACGCGCU